rfam:Triticum aestivum genome assembly, contig: Triticum_aestivum_CS42_TGACv1_scaffold_433035_5DL
UUUCUACUCCUUCCGUCCCAAAAUUCUUGUCUUAGAUUCGUCUACAUACGGAUGUAUCUGAUAUUAAAAUAUGACUUGAUACAUCCGUAUUUAGACAAAUCUAAGAAAAAAAUUGAGACAGAGGAAGUAUUUU